GCGGAGAGUUAUGUGACAGAAGGGAGAAUGUGUAUGAGAGCGGAGAUCCAGAGAGCAGCCGUCACACUCGAGUGACAGUGGGAGUGUAGGUAACUGUUAACGUUACACGAGUCAAACUGUUUAUGUUAUGUUAUCGAGGUGACACGCCAACGAGGCGGUCUGUAUUGCAGUUUAUUGCAGUACAGAAUUUUACCCUACCCAGAACAGUGCAGGAGUGGACUAGUUCGUGUUUGCCGGUCAAAUAGCCUGCGAUUUCUCUUCCCUAAGUGGCCCCCAUGGCGAAAAACACACUCUCGUCGCGGUUUCGGAGGGUUGACAUCGAUGAGUACGACGAGAACAAAUUUGUGGACGAGCAGGAGGAGGCGGCUGAGCAACAGGGACCGGACGCCGCCGAGGUAGACAAUCUUAUCAGGCAAGGAGACAUGAUGACAGCUUUCCACAUUGCACUGAGGAACCCUCCAAUCAACACUAAGAACCCGGCAAUCAAGGAGCGAGCCCAGGCAAUAGUGCUGAGGGUGCUCACCUCCUUCAGGGGCGCGGAGAUCGAGACGGCAGUUAAAUCCCUGGACAGGAACGGGGUGGACCUGUUAAUGAAGUACAUCUACAGGGGCUUCGAGAAGCCUUCAGAGAACAGCAGCGCCAUCCUGCUCCAGUGGCACGAAAAGGCUUUCGCUGCAGGAGGCUUGGGAUCCAUUGUGCGAGUUCUCACCGCCAGAAAGACCGUCUGACAGACCGGGAGGACCGAGAGGACAGAGGACUGAUGGGAAGGCCCAGGGACAUAUCACUACAGUUACUGCUUUCUCCCAGGACACAAUCAAAAUCGAAUCAAAAAUUAAGGAGGAAAAUGGAAAUGACGGACUGACUGUGAAGAUACAAUAAAGAGAAUAAUGAAUUCAGAUGGAGAGGCUGUGUGGAAAAAGCAGUUGCUCAUGUGCCAUGGCCAGCGGUGCUAGAUUGGGGAACGUACUACUGCAAGUACAACGUGAUGCCCUAAUGAGUUUUAUUUAGCUGGCUUAGUAUUGGAAGAUUUAGAUUGUAUUUUUUUCCCUCGUUGUCAUUUUUGUACAGAGAGAAGCAUACAUUUAAUAUAAAGCAAUGGAAAUUAUUUGAAUUCUUUGUUUGGGGGGGGUUGUCAUUGUAAAGUGCCUGCUGCAAUAAACCUCAUGGAUCAUC